UGCCUAAUGCUUGCUUGGACCAGUAUAA
rnacentral:piRNA from 1 species